GAUGAACGCUGGCGGCGUGCCUAAUACAUGCAAGUCGAGCGAACAGACGAGAGUGCUUGCACUCUCUGACGUUAGCGGCGGACGGGUGAGUAACACGUGGGUAACCUACCUAUAAGACUGGGAUAACUUCGGGAAACCGGAGCUAAUACCGGAUAAUAUUUAGCUUCGCAUGAAGCAAUAGUGAAAGACGGUUCUGCUGUCACUUAUAGAUGGACCCGCGGUGUAUUAGCUAGUUGGUGAGGUAACGGCUCACCAAGGCAACGAUACAUAGCCGACCUGAGGGGGGAUCGGGCCCCACUGGGACUGGGCCACGGCCCAGACCCCGACGGGAGGCAGCAGUAGGAAAUCUUCCGCAAUGGACGAAAUUCUGACGGAGCAAGGCCGCGGGGGUAAAGAAGGUUUGCGGAUCGUAAAACCUUUUUGUAGGGGAAAAAAAAGUACGUUGGUAAUGGACCGUCCCUGGACGGUACCUUACAAGAAAGCCACGGUAAAUUACGG
rnacentral:rRNA from 1 species